ACGGAAUAAUUGUUGGAAACGGCAACUAAUACCGUAUACGCCCUACGGGGGAAAAAUUUAUUGCUAUUAGAUGAGCCUAUAUUAGAUUAGUUAGUUGGUGAGGUAAAGGCUUACCAAGACAAUGAUCUAUAGCUGAUCUGAGGAUGAUCAGCCACACUGGAACUGAGAUACGGUCCAGACUCCUACGGGAGGCAGCAGUGGGGAAUAUUGGACAAUGGGCGAAAGCCUGAUCCAGCCAUGCCGCAUGAGUGAAGAAGGCCUUUGGGUUGUAAAGCUCUUUUAGUGAGGAAGAUAAUGACGGUACUCACAGAAGAAGUCCUGGCUAACUCCGUGCCAGCAGCCGCGGUAAUACGGAGAGGGCUAGCGUUAUUCGGAAUUAUUGGGCGUAAAGGGCGCGUAGGCUGAUUAAUAAGUUAAAAGUGAAAUCCCGAGGCUUAACCUUGGAAUUGCUUUUAAAACUAUUGAUCUAGAGAUUGAAAGAGGAUAGAGGAAUUCCUGAUGUAGAGGUGAAAUUCGUAAAUAUUAGGAGGAACACCAGUGGCGAAGGCGUCUAUCUGGUUCAAAUCUGACGCUGAGGCGCGAAGGCGUGGGGAGCAAACAGGAUUAGAUACCCUGGUAGUCCACGCUGUAAACGAUGGAUGUUAAAUAUGGGAAGUUUACUUUCUGUAUUACAGCUAACGCGUUAAACAUUCCGCCUGGGGACUACGGUCGCAAGAUUAAAACUCAAAGGAAUUGACGGGGACCCGCACAAGCGGUGGAGCAUGUGGUUUAA
rnacentral:rRNA from 1 species